CUUGACGCCAGCUAAAGAAGAUACGGCGAAUGAACGAUGACGAUUGCUGUACUACCAGUUGUACUACUGAUCCAGGUGCUGCAACUACCAGCGCUAGGAGAUGACCGUUGUCCAGGACCAGCACCUGACCCGGGAGUGAUUGUUGACUACUGCAACUAUUACUGCGAAGGUGAGAACUUUGGAUGGCUGAAGCAGUACUACCAAAAUGGAACGAAAUGCAAG